GAUGAACGCUGGCGGCGUGCCUAAUACAUGCAAGUCGAGCGAACAGACGAGGAGCUUGCUCCUCUGACGUUAGCGGCGGACGGGUGAGUAACACGUGGAUAACCUACCUAUAAGACUGGGAUAACUUCGGGAAACCGGAGCUAAUACCGGAUAAUAUAUUGAACCGCAUGGUUCAAUAGUGAAAGACGGUUUUGCUGUCACUUAUAGAUGGAUCCGCGCCGCAUUAGCUAGUUGGUAAGGUAACGGCUUACCAAGGCAACGAUGCGUAGCCGACCUGAGAGGGUGAUCGGCCACACUGGAACUGAGACACGGUCCAGACUCCUACGGGCGGCAGCAGUAGGGAAUCUUCCGCAAUGGGCGAAAGCCUGACGGAGCAACGCCGCGUGAGUGAUGAAGGUCUUCGGAUCGUAAAACUCUGUUAUUAGGGAAGAACAAAUGUGUAAGUAACUAUGCACGUCUUGACGGUACCUAAUCAGACAGCCACGGCUAACUACGUG
rnacentral:rRNA from 1 species